AAAAAAUAAUCCUAAUUACAAAAAUUAAAACUCAGUAUUUGGGACCCCUGACUUGGACUUGGCUGCUCUAUUCUUAUUGGCCAUAGACCCAAUCCAAACGUCAAAACCUCUACAUCCAAAAUUCACCAAAAAAAUCAUCUUAAUUCUAAAAAAUAUUACGAACUCUUUGUAACAUGCACUUUCAUUUUAUGAUCUCAAAU
rnacentral:lncRNA from 1 species